rnacentral:tRNA from 1 species
GCCUGGGUGGCUCAGUCGGUUGAGCGUCCGACUUCAGCUCAGGUCAUGAUCUCACGGUUUGUGAGUUCGAGCCCCGCAUCGGGCU